rnacentral:rRNA from 6 species
GCUUAACCUUCGGGAGGGCGCUUACCACUUUGUGAUUCAUGACUGGGGUGAAGUCGUAACAAGGUAACCGUAGGGGAACCUGCGGUUGGAUCACCUCCUUACCUUAAAGAA